UACGAAGGGUGCUAGCGUUGUUCGGAAUCACUGGGCGUAAAGCGCGCGUAGGCGGCUUUGCAAGUCAGAGGUGAAAUCCCACGGCUCAACCGUGGAACUGCCUUUGAAACUGCAAAGCUUCGAGUGUCGGAGGGGAUAGCGGAAUUCCUAAUGUAGAGGUGAAAUUCGUAGAUAUUAGGAGGAACACCGGUGGCGAAGGCGGCUAUCUGGCCCGGUACUGACGCUGAGGUGCGAAAGCGUGGGGAGCAAACAGG
rnacentral:rRNA from 1 species